rnacentral:piRNA from 1 species
UGCAAACUACCCAUUGAGGAGUCCUGGGC